CACCCUCCCGCGCUUCUGACUGUACCCAGUGCUUGUAUAAAUACAAACAAACAAAUAAAAAAAAAAAACUUCAGUCCUUUUAAAAAAAAAAAAUAAAUAAAAUCUGGAUGGUGGUCUUUUCCCUCUUGGUGAAAGAGGGAGGGAGAGAUGAAUGCAACUGGAGAACUUCUAGGUUAGUAAGUAGGAGUACAUGUUAUGUGAUGGCUUGUGUUUUUGUGACAUAGGUGAGGGCAAUCUGCUGGGGGAGGUUAUGGAAGUGGUAGAGUAGGAGUGAGAGCUGACGUUAUAAAUGGGACUCAUGAGGUUGGUGAAGAUGAACACACAGUAGCAGCAGUCUGCACAGUUGUGUGGCUUUGCUCUAACAGUGCUCAGCAACCGAGGCAGAUUGCUAUGUUUAGUCAGAAGUGGUUUUGCUAGCCAGCACAGCCAGGUGGGAUAAGACUGAGAACUGCCCUGCAGGUUGCUAGUCCAAUUAAAGAAAUGUGUCCCUGUCUUGUCUGUUUUGAUACCACUAGUAAGAUCCAGGCUGGGCUGAUGGACAUUACACAGUUUCCACCCGCCCUUGGAUUGCCUUCCAUAUCUAAAAUGUAUUCAGGUUCCAGCUUUUUUUUUUUUUUUUGCCUCACUGUCCCUCAGGACCCAUGUCUAUAGACUUCCUCUUCCCUAGCACUGACAAUCUUGCCACGAUUUCUUGUGUGUACCUUCUAUCUCCCUGUGAGGAGGCAGGGCCACAUCUCUAGCUUCCUGGUGGUAAUGCCUGUUGCCCUCUGCUCACAGCUAGUGCUGCUAGGAGAUCCAACCCCUGCCCCUCCAGGGCACUCACCAUUGUAGGAGAGUGUCAGGCUCUCCAGAGACACCCAGGAGCUCAGCAGGUGGCACAGUGUCAGAGCUGCCUCAGUGGAGAGCGGAACUGUGAAUAGCUCCAAGGUGGAAAUGCUGCGGAAUCGCUGGGAGGCUUCCAGUGCUGGAAGCCCUAGGCAGCUGGGAUCUGAUCCAUCCAAAGCUCCACAAGCCACUUCCCCGAUCUCCAUCUCUUCUCCAUCCUCCUUCUCACCAGCCACAAUGAAAACAAAGUCAUAUAGGUCUUCAGACUCUGCACCAGACCCUUGGCGGGUGCGUGCACCCUUCUUCCCUGCAGCUCUCUUGAAACGCUUUAGGGGCUUAGGCUGUGUGGCUGAGCUAGCUGGAGCUCUUUUGGAUGAGGAUGUGGAGGAGGAAGAGGAGGCAGAAGCAGAGGAGGUUGUGGCUGGAGCAGUGGGUGGCUGCUUGGUGCCAGGAGCCUCGUGGGAAUUAGCUGGAGGGUGCAGCUCCCUCUUAGGGUCUGUCCCACCUGCUGUCAAGCUCUCCUGUGUGCUCCGGCGUGUUACUCGAGUGGCAGGUGCAGCUCUGGCUGUCUGCUUGGCUUCGCUCUUUCGCCGGGAGGCCAUCAGGGCUGCAGCACAUCGCUCAGCAGCAUCCCGGCGGGGCCGGCGUGAGCCCAGCAAGAGGGACCCUUCAUCUCGGGAUGGGGCCCGGCCUCGGGAAGCCUCUCCACAAAGACGACAGGGUGGGCCACCAGGGCCUGGCUGCCAAAAGCCAGCACUCAUGGUGAGGAUAAGGAUGAAAAGGGCUGACUCAGGCACAGGCCAGGAAUACAGGGACACCUGGCUGACAGCCCCAUGGUGAAUAAGCUGAUGCAACAACUGCCGAAGUGACUGCUGUGCAGCCACAUCAGAGAACAGCAGGUGGCGGAACUUGAGGGUGUGCAAGGAACUGGCCAGGGUCUCCAAAACCCUGCGGUUGGGCUCAGCUACCAGCUCAGUUGCACCCUGCAGCAUGUUGCAGAUGGUGAGCUGCCGGACAUGGCGGGAACUAUGCAGAAGAGGCGAGAAGCGCUGGUCACAAAGACGCCUGUCAGAAGACACAUCAAUGGUCCCACGAAGAACAUGGGAAAAAAAGGCUUCCAUAAACUUGGCUCGCCAACAGGUCACGCUCUGAAAGCAGAGAACACGCCAGACAGCCGUGAUCCUAAGUGCUGGCUACCAAUGAAACUGACAUCCCAUUUUCCUCCCUUCUAAUGAGCCAGGUUUAUUUAUCUCCUUAACAAAGGGUCUGAGGAUUUUGUUGUGCUUCAGUGUCAUCACACUGAACUCCAGAGGCUGGUUCCAGAUCUAAAAGUGGAAAAGCUGAAGGAUAUGGAGCUGCAUGUUACUGAGCCCAGAAAAACAUCUCCAGUCUUCCAAUUUGUGAUUCAUGAUGUGGCUCUGACUUCUUUUUCCACAAUGGAGCGGUAGCCUGACCAUCACAGUGCCAGGUAGGACUGUCAUUCCUCUUGUCAUUUAGCCUACACUAUAUUACAUUAGUUCACAUUGCUUAGGGUAAAGUCAUUAUGAGUGACUUCAGCAUACUGUUGACUAAACCUUCUUAAUCUUUUCUAUAUAAGCGGCUGCUAAGCCAGACCCCUGUA